rnacentral:rRNA from 1 species
CAAUAGCGUAUAUUAAAGUUGUUGCAGUUAAAAAGCUCGUAGUUGGAUUUGUGGCGUACGGUGGGUUCCGGGCACUUGUUGUCUGAGUAACUUGCUGUUGCCAUCCUUGGGUGGAACCUGUGUGGCAUUAGGUUGUCGUGCAGGGGAUGCCCAUCAUUUACUGUGAAAAAAUUAGAGUGUUCAAAGCAGGCUUAUGCCGUUGAAUAUAUUAGCAUGGAAUAAUGAGAUAGGACUUUUUUGCUAUUUUGUUGGUUUGUGCAAAGAGGUAAUGAUUAAUAGGGACAGUUGGGGGUAUUCGUAUUCCAUUGUCAGAGGUGAAAUUCUUGGAUUUUUGGAAGACGAACUACUGCGAAAGCAUUUACCAAGGAUGUUUUCAUUAA